AUUUUUGUUUGUGUUGAUGAUUUUUUUUUUUUAUCUGUAGGGAUAUUUCCAAGCAUUGUUUUCAUGUAUCGAGAGCCUAUUGUAUUCCCUGAAUGUUGAAAACCUGGUACUCCCUGCUGCUGAGGAAGCUGAAUCAAUCUGGACGAAAAAAUUAGGUUUCAGAAAGAUGAGUGAUGAAAGGUUAUUGAAGUAUCCGAGGAACCUCCAGUUGACGAUUUUUAAGGGGACAUCAAUGUUAGAAAAGAAGGUGCAGCAGAUAGCAGAUUAGCGCGUCGCGGUUAAAGGUGUAGGAAUUAGGGAUUAUUUUGUUCAUUCUUGGUUGUUUAUGUAAUAUUGCUGCUAUUUUCUUUGGUUAGCAUGCCAGUGAUCUGAUUGAGAAUUGUUUUUGUUUUCAUGUAUGAAUAGGAGGGGAGGUGUGUCACACAGCAGCCAUGCAUGCUAACCUUUUAAUAUGCAUGCAUGCAUGUUGUUUCUUUCUUUUCUUAAAUCUUUUAUCUCUGCAUUUUUUCUUCGUGUAUGCGGACAGUUUGAGAUGAAAAAUUACUCUUUUAGAGUGCAUUGCAGGAA